UGUACUAAUGAGGUUUAGUGAGUGGUCGUCACUCCACCCUCAUUGCUCAACCAGAAGCACACGAGCAAUUAUAGAUGAGGCAACUACGUUCACUGCUGCCUGUUAAAGGGAAAGUGAUAUGAACACACACCGUUGUCACUUGUGGGUCUAAGAUGGCCAAAUCUAAGAUUACCUCUGCUCCCCAUCCUAUGGCGCCUUUGUUCAGCAUGCACUUGGCUGUAAUUUUCAACUCAUGAUAUGGAGAUCGGCCACGCAGUCUGAUCCUCUAAACUUAGAGCCUCUCAAGGAUGAUGGAAAGUAAAAGAAGAUGGCGUUACAAUGAAUCCAAUCUCAUUUCCACCACAUGUGUCUAAUGCACCAGCUACCAUUCUGUAAUAGAUCAAGUGCGGCUGCUCCACCAGGCGGCCAUCAUCACCAGGGGUUGUUGAGACGGGGACUUGAUAAAAAUUAUUUCAUAAUGACGUUAGAACACGCUUUGCAUGAAAAUAGGUGUAUGGCAACUUCAUUAGAGGGAAGACAGAAUUUGGUGAGGCAGAGCAAGGAUGUCUGGUGGCGGGAGGGAGGGAGUUGGUGGGGUUGGAAAGAGAGGACAGGGCGGGACGGAGGAGGAGACUUGGAACUUUAGAGAUGAGGUAACUGGACAACUUUGGUAUGAAGUGUCCCGGAAGAGAGGAAGAGGAGGCAGGGAGUAUAUGAAUAGCGUGAAAUAGUAAGGAAAGUAUUAUGUUAAAUAAGGGGAAAAUGAAUUUUGGUGGCAUUGCUAGCGCUGUAUAUCAAGUUACUGGACAACAUUGGUAUGGAAUGGUAUGGAGGAGAGGAAGAGGAAGCAGAGAAGGAAUGAAUGGCUUGAAGUCACAACAGGAAAAAAAAAAAAAGCUGUAUUAUGCUAAGUAUGCUGUAAGAGAGAGGGAGAGAGAGAAGCUUAGUAAGAGAAGACUUUUGAAAUUACGAAACUACAAAGAUAACGCUGGUAGGGAGUGACCUACAUACGAGGAAGAGGGAGAGGAAGAGAAAGCAAGAGAGAAAACGAAUGGCUUGGGAUGGUUUAACGAAAUAUCAGUUUAGUUUAGGGAUACUGAAAUUUAAUUGGUAGAGAAAGGGAACGGAGCAAUAUAGAGAGACGUGUGCCAAACUUUAUGGAAGCGAAACAGGGAGAGUUGAAUGGUCUGAAGUGGUAAAAAAAAAAGUAUAAAAAAGUAUGAAGUUUGGUAAGGGAUAGUGAGGCUUACGUAGAGGAAGGCGAGGAAGGGGAGAGAAGUAGGCCAUGCGUACAGAGGAACGUGAGGCUUAAUGUAGAGAAACGUGCUGGGACGGAACAGGAAGGAAUAUGGAAAAGAAUGAAGUCAGUCAGGCAUGAAUUUUGUGUCGAUAAUGAAGGAAGGGGAAGGUGGCGAGUGAGGCAAGGGAUAAGGGCGCGCAGAAAAUAAGGGGAAGAAAGAGGCGGGCGACAGCUUGGUGGGCGGGCGAGGCGGGGGUGUUGCGUGGAAGGAAAGGAGGAGGAAGGACAUAACAUUUCUUCACGGGCCAUAUAAUUGUCAGAUUUGGCCACUUGUUAUAAUGGCGUGAGUGGCAGCGGUAUGUCUUCCCUGUUGACACCUCUCACCUCACACUCUCACACGCUUUGUUGAUAAUUUCGCUUUUAUUGCUUGAAAUUAGGAGUCACACACAGCAGCGGUCACCUCCUUAAUUACGCCUGUGUACAUUAUUUUCUCUUUUUCUUUUCAGCUUUCUUAGUUACUGUCACCCCACCCCCCUUCUCUCUUUCUCUCCUUGAUGGCGCGAGAUUGACUGGAAAAUGGAAAAACUGUGUUCUUUUCACAUCUACUUUACUCCCGUCACCGCCACAGGACGUAAAGGUCUCAAUAACUCAUCAAUUUGUACAGGAGGAAAUAUUGAGUGGCGGAGGCUAACUUCUUUCCAUCAUCUGGGAGCGUAUGCUAUUUCCUUUUCUUUCGUUCAUUUUUCAAGGAUGUAUUAUGACAUUACAUGAGAAUGAGGGAAUUACAUACCAGCAGGGAGGCACAGGCUUGGUAUAAUGGUGUUGAGGAGGAGGAGGAGGAGGAGGAGGAGGACGUUAUGAGAAAUGCGUGCGGCUCGUGUCCAUUCCUGGCCCUCCAUCCUGCCCAGCGACUCCCUCUCCUCCCCUCGGCCAGUCCCUCCCUCCUGCGCGCGUUACUCAAUCCAAACAAAUGUCCCGUGAUUAUUCGCCAGGAUAUUUACAGUUAUUGGUGAAAAUUUUUCCUCGAUCUUACAUAAUGGAUGCAACUCGUCUUUCAUACACACACACCUAAAAUAUUCAACCUACAAGCAACACUUUUCAUAUAAAUGCUGCAUAAUUUGUUGUACUGUGGCAUUUUCUUCUGCGUCUAACAAAAAUGAAAGUGGGUUUAAGUUUAUAUUUCAUGCAUUAAGUGUAUAAUUAACCAGAGUAGGUCGUCUUGCAUGAAAUUAAAGAAAAAAUAAAAGUAAAUGUCUAGAUAAUACUUGUGAAGGAGGAUAUGCACUCAGCAGGGCUUCCAUGAAGUGAAGAAAGCAGAAGUUUGAAUUGUGCAGUGUAGUAAUGUGAAAGAGACAAAGCACUGACUGAAUCACAUGUAUACAUAUAAUGAUUCUUUUGUAGCUUUUAGUAAAAAAUAUAUACUAAAAGUUAUUGUUUCUAUUUGUCUAUCAUGAAAGUUUCGAAA